rnacentral:lncRNA from 12 species
CACUGUAUGAAAUGGUUUCUGCCUUUUUUUUCCCUCUCUUUUCGUUGUUUCCAGAUGAAAUGGAACAGUUUCCUAGAUUCUAUCAUUCUAUGGAUGUUGUCAAAGUUGAUCAUAUCUGCAGAACCGUGACCACAUCUUCUGGAUCCUCCCUGUGCUCUCAGAUUUGCUUCCAUUUGCAUUGCCCAGCUGGAGAUAAGGUUAAAAAGAAGACUUAUACUUGGUGUGGUGUAGUGCCAUCGUGUGGAUCCAGGAUGGGUGGAGGCAGAAAACUGGCUUGAAAGACAGAAGCAGGUGUGGGGUGCACUGUGCCUGAGAUUUCAUAUGAGUGAGUCUGCUUGAUGACUAGUACAU